rnacentral:rRNA from 1 species
UGGGGAAUUUUGGACAAUGGGCGAAAGCCUGAUCCAGCCAUGCCGCGUGAGUGAAGAAGGCCUUCGGGUUGUAAAGCUCUUUUAGUUGGAAAGAAAGAGUUGCAAUGAAUAAUUGUGAUUUAUGACGGUACCGACAGAAAAAGCACCGGCUAACUACGUGCCAGCAGCCGCGGUAAUACGUAGGGUGCGAGCGUUAAUCGGAAUUACUGGGCGUAAAGGGUGCGCAGGCGGUCUUGCAAGUCAGAUGUGAAAGCCCCGGGCUUAACCUGGGAAUUGCGUUUGAAACUACAAGGCUAGAGUGCAGCAGAGGGGAGUGGAAUUCCAUGUGUAGCAGUGAAAUGCGUAGAGAUGUGGAAGAACACCGAUGGCGAAGGCAGCUCCCUGGGUUGACACUGACGCUCAUGCACGAAAGCGUGGGGAGCAAACA